rnacentral:rRNA from 1 species
UACGGAGGGUGCAAGCGUUAUCCGGAUUCACUGGGUUUAAAGGGUGCGUAGGAGGGCAGGUAAGUCAGUGGUGAAAUCCCCGAGCUUAACUUGGGAACUGCCGUUGAUACUAUCUGUCUUGAAUACCGUGGAGGUGAGCGGAAUAUGUCAUGUAGCGGUGAAAUGCUUAGAUAUGACAUAGAACACCUAUUGCGAAGGCAGCUAACUACGCAUAUAUUGACGCUGAGGCACGAAAGCGUGGGGAUCAAACAGG